CCCAGUAGUCGGAAUCGGGGCGCCCCUGCACCGCCCAGCUCUGGGAGCCGCAGGCGGGGGACCGACCGACGGACAGACCAGUGCUUUCACGGUGUGAGCGCGCGUCGUUUGGCGGUAGGGGACGGGGAUUCCCCCCAGCCUUGCGCUCCGCCCCCACACCCCUAUCGCACUUUGGGGAAGUUUCCAGGCGCGGCCCGGGGCAGGAAAUCUGGCAUUUUUUAAAGUUUGCGCCCCACAAAGAGGAAAUAUUCCAAAGGUACUCAGGAUGUAAAAGGGGAGAUCUUCACAGAUGCCUCCGUGGAUGGCAUGGCAAUCCAUCCAUCAAUGAGAAGACCAUGAUUUCUUUUAAUUUUCUGUGUGUUUCCACAUUCCCCAGUGAGAAUUCUUCCACCUUUUUUUGUGCCAUGGGAAAAACCUGAAGGGCAGGCAGAGCUGCUCCCGAACUUGUGACCUUCUCUGAGGUUGCAGCGGCUCUUGUAGAACAUGACUCUGGGACAUCACUUCCUUUUGUUUUCUUUCGGAGCUGAACCAAAGAAUGUGCACCCUCUUUCUCUAGUGCUGUGGUGUCUGCUUAUUUUUGUAUUUGUGCUUUCCAUCCAUCUUCUGUGAUCACAAGGCAUUCUUAAGGUUUUCUAGCACGACUUGCGGACAUCCAGACUCGUGGGGGGCCCACCCAUGGCUCGGUAAGCCAGCAGCCCAGGGCACUGGCACUACCAUGAGGCACUGCAUUAAUUGCUGCAUACAGCUGUUACCCGACGGCGCACACAAGCAGCAGGUCAACUGCCAAGGGGGCCCCCAUCACGGUCACCAGGCGUGCCCCACGUGCAAAGGAGAAAACAAAAUUCUGUUUCGUGUGGACAGUAAGCAGAUGAACUUGCUUGCUGUUCUCGAAGUGAGGACUGAAGGGAACGAAAA
rnacentral:lncRNA from 1 species